ACCAAUUGUCAAAAAAUUUCCCUGCAAAGUGUCAUAUGUUAGAGAGGGCGUCUGCAGGAGGCAGCGGCGGCGGCGGCGGCGCGCAGGGAGACUGUUGCUGCAGCGCAGAGCUGCCUUUUGGGCAUGACGAGGAGGAAUCCGAGCAGGUACACGCGCGCACUUCUCCUUGGGAUAAACAGGCUCGAGGCGCAGAUUGUAGGCGCGCGCGCUCUCUUCUCUGUUUAGUUUUGGUCGGUGUUGGUGUGUGAGAGCAUCCCGAAGGCCCAACGCGGCGGAGCGUCGCCGCUGCACUCUAAACUGUUUGGACUCAUCUAAAUAUUUCCUCUCACAGCAGGAGGCUGCGCACUGCCGAGGGCUCAUUUUAGAUGAUAGCACCAUGAUGAUGAUGGUGAUGGUGAUGAUGAUGUCUCGUCCCCGGCGAUGCCGCGCGCAGCUCUCCCAUUUUCUCUCGUGGAAGUGAAAGAUUGAAAGGCUCGAAAGUUGACAGCUCUUCCAGGCGAUUCUUUACGGGAACUCAAUCCACUUCCACCGCAGCGCGGCCCCGCCCCGCCCCGCUCCGCGCUGAUAAGUCCCGUCGUUUGAUUUUCGGCUGGAAACAACAAAAAGUUGUGAUGAAGGUUUGGCUUCAAGAUGACAAAGAUCUAACAAGAAAGAGCAGGUACGGGCUCCUAUCGGAGCAGCCCGGAAGACUUGGAGUUUAUGAAGUGCAGACCAGUGAGACUCCACUGCGAGAUAAUUCAUAGUCAGCUCGGAGUCGCGGGUGUCACCACGCCACGCAUGAGGGACGCGGUCCGAGGGAGGAGAGGACAAAACAAGGUUCAGUCCUGAACCGAGCAGGUGACUAGCUGCGUUCUGUGAGCAUGUCGAAGGCCUAUUCAAAGCCCAGAGCGAGACACAGAGCCGGACGACGGCAGAAGCAGCUGCUCUAGGCCGGGCUACCGAGGGGGGAGACACCGGGUUUAGAGAGAGAUGAUCAUCUGGGACUGGAGCUGCGAUCAGCUGAGAGAACCGGGGAGAGGAGGGAGGCAGAGGGUCCACCGGUCCGCUCCCCAUUUCUGCUGAUAUCGAUUUCUUCUUUUUUUUUCUUUUCCUUUCUUUUCUUUUCUUUCAUUCUUUUUCUUUUUUAUUUUGCUUUCUUUCAUUUCCUUCUCUUUUCUUCAAAUAUUUCGCUCAGGCAAACAAAGAGAAAUAAAGGAUUUUACCCGAAACGGACUUUGAUUUCUGACGUUUUCCCCGCUUCAGACUCUGGUUCUGAGCCUUGGAAAUGUUUGAAAUUUUGUUUAUGUAGCCUAUUUAUUUAUUUUUGUCCAUGGAUCAAAAUUUAUUCACACUGACUGAACGGAACCAGCAACACUAAGAUCUCAUAGGCUUUUUUAUAAAUUGCACGCCGCCUGAGAAGUUCCGCUAAGUGCUUUGAACUGAACUGGGCGGAAGUGGCGCAGUUUAACGGAGUGUUUCCUUUUCGGUUGCGCCAGGCAACACGGUGACAUGUUGGCGGUGUAACCCACAUGCUUCGGGUUACCCGGGUCAGUGCGUGGUGGUGAGACAAGCCCACUCCCACUCCAGCACGCCGUCAGCCCCAAAACAUAUUCCGACGUGAACUCGGCGCAGAUUAUCGAACCAGCACCAACUCUGAGCAAACAUUUUUCCAGACUCCCCAACUCCGCUGCGGCCUGUGCUGAGAGAAAUCCGAUGGGAUUUAUAGAUCAUCUCCCUACAGCUGUCGCUUCUCAGCCGGUCAACCCCUGCUGACCCCCCGCCUCCACUAUAGAUCGACCUCAGCAUCGCAAACGCUCCAAUAUUCGGAGGUUCGAUCAGACCCAGAACCAUCAGCAGACAGAACCUCGUGCAGCCCGUUUUAUUCGGGGUGUUUAUAGCUAUGUG